AUUCCAGCUCCAAUAGCGUAUAUUUAAGUUGUUGCGGUUAAAAAGCUCGUAGUUGGAUUUCGGGCGUGGAGGUUCGGUCCGCCGUUUCGGUGUGCACUGUCUUUCUGCGUCUUUCUGUCGGGGACGCGCUUCUGGCCUUAAUUGGCUGGGACGUGGAUUCGACGAGGUUACUUUGAAAAAAUUAGAGUGUUCAAAGCAAGCUAAAGCUCUGAAUACAUUAGCAUGGAAUAACGCGAGAGGACUCGGUCCUUAUUUUGUUGGUCUUCAAGGAUGGAGUAAUGAUUAAGAGGGACAGUUGGGGGCAUUCGUAUUUCAUUGCUAGAGGUGAAAUUCUUGGAUUUAUGAAAGACGAACUUCUGCGAAAGCAUUUGCCAAGGAUGUUUUCAUUG
rnacentral:rRNA from 1 species